rnacentral:rRNA from 1 species
GACGAACCGUGCGAACGUUUAUUCGGAAUCACUGGCUUAAAGCGCGUGUAGGCGGGAGGGCACGUCGGACGUUGAAAUCCCCCGGCUCAACCGGGGAAGUGGCGCCGAUACGACCUUCCUGGAGGAACGUAGGGGGGACCUGGAACUUCCGGUGGAGCGGUGAAAUGCGUUGAGAUCGGAAGGAACGCCCGUGGCGAAGGCGGUUCUCUGGGCCUGUACUGACGCUGAGGAGCGAAAGCGUGGGGAGCGAACAGG